AUUGAACGCUGGCGGCAGGCCUAACACAUGCAAGUCGAACGAGUGGCGGACGGGUGAGUAAUGUCUGGGAAACUGCCCGAUGGAGGGGGAUAACUACUGGAAACGGUCGCUAAUACCGCAUACCAUCGGAUGUGCCCAGAUGGGAUUAGCUUGUAGGUGGGGUAACGGCUCACCUAGGCGACGAUCCCUAUCUGGUCUGAGAGGAUGACCAGCCACACGGGAACGGAGAAACGGUCUAGACGCCUACGGGAGGCAGCAGUGGGGAAUAUUGCACAAUGGGCGCAAGACGGAUGCAGCAAUGCCGCGUGGAGGAAGAAGGCCUUAGGGGUGUAAAGUACUUUCAGCGGGGAGGCGUUACCCGCAGAAGAAGCACAGGCUAACUCCGGGCCAGAAGCCGCGGUAAGAC
rnacentral:rRNA from 1 species